CGGAGCGGCUUCGCAGCCUGCAGUUGAACGUGAAUGUCUGUGUACUUAAUGUCACACACGCGCAAACCGAAGGCUUUGCCCGCGGUGACCUGCGCAGAGCCCUCACCUUCCUCCGGGGUGGUGCUGGAAGCGCUUCCCUCCCGCUGCGUCCGCCUUCUGCAGUCCUGUUCUGGCUCCAGGCCUCUCCACCCGGCAGCGCCCGGCUCUUGUGAGCUCACAGAGCUGCUCCGUGCGUCCUGCCUUCCCAGCAGCGUGUGACUGCUGGUAGGGUUGUUGCAGCCACCUGAAGUCUCUCGGCAAGGAGGUGGGAGCGUCUCGCCUUGUCGGGGCUAAUCUUAGGUCCUCUCUCCCGACAGCGGCCACAGCAGUGCUCCCCUACCCGGCACCACCUGUAGGAGUGUGGGAGCUGGAGAAGUGAAUGCCUUGCAGGGAUUUUCACCGGCUGCACGAGCUGGAAAGCUGGUGAUGCCUGCAAGGGAGUGGGAACACGGCUGUUGUUCAGGGCUUGUGCCGUGGCAGCUGCUGGCUGCUGUGCAUGUGAGCCCGUGCUCUGAGAUCUGGAUGGAACAAGGCAUCUGUCAUGGGCUACAAAGCAACACGCUGCUCUCAAGACAGACAUCUGCAGCGCUGAUGCGUCCUUUGGGUCCUUUGAUAUGCAGACUCACCUUUAAGUUGGCUGUCAGCUCAGCUGCCGUUGUUGGUCUCAAACUGUGAGUCUACAUCCAAGCAAGUAUUACAAUACUGCAGUUUUCCAUAACCUCCUCAGCAGCAUCUGGAUAAGCGACGAAAAAGUCUGCACUGCUCUUUUCUGUUGGAUCUUUUUUUCCUGCUCCCUCUAGCUCUCAUCAUGCCUUCACCUGCUCAUAUAAGCAACUGUAUGUCAAGUUUGCUUCCAGGCUGGGUAGCACAUUGCCUCUUUGACAGUUAAGUUCUCCAUCUUCUACUGGUUGCUGGUCUUAUCUACAAUGAUUUUUCGUCAUCCCAAACGGAGAUGACUGCAUGCCCAUUGAGGUGCACUAUAGAUGCUGUUCUUUUGAAAACUGAACAUCUGCUUGCAGCUGUCUACAAAUUAUGAGCCAACGUUGCUUUAAAUCCUUUCAUGGCAUCUUCAAUUCUGUUCCAGAUCGCUCUAAAUUUUCUUUUAAUCAACUUUGAAAUCAGAGACGACUUCUGUUUUUCCAAAUAUCUCACUCUGCUGCUGCUAAUGCCACCUUUAAAGCUUCCCGUCAGCAGUUGGCCCAUAGCUAAAAUUUGCAUAGUUACUAUUUUAGUAACUAAACAUUUCAGUGUUUACUUGGGCAUUUCAUAUACGGCCUUUUAAUAUACAGUGGCUACUGGAGGUGCUAAAUACAUGGUUUUCCGUGGCAACAGAAUUCAUCAUUCUGUAAUUCAUAACUGGUUUACUCAAAUGUUGAGCUACGUGUGCUAUUUUUAACUACUACUUAGAGCAACUCUUCUAUUAUUAAUGUCACUUUUGCCCCAUAUUAAAAUUUUCAGGUUAAUAACUCUUUUUUAUUAUUAUUUAAAAACGAGGAGGCCAUAGAAAUAUUUUGGAAAGAGUCUUUGGAGAAGAAAGGAGGUUGAACCACAUGAGUUAUGCUGUAGCUCGUGUUUCCAGCAGCACUCAUUUCACAGUUACGGUGUCUUUCAGUGUUGGUUCACAGACUCACGUCAUUCCAGUUCCUGGAUUCUUACAAGAAGGGACCAACACUGUGGGAUUUAUCAUGGAAUUUGGACUAGCAGAUUAUUGCCCUUGUCUGUAACCUACUUUAAAAAUUAAAGACUAUUCAGCUCUGUAAUCAAGAGAGCAGCCCAAUCGUAUGUUAAAUUUUAUCAGUAGAUUUAUCUCAUUAAUGAAGUUCUCCUUUACUCAUCUUGUACUCUUAAAG
ensembl:lncRNA